rnacentral:rRNA from 1 species
CGGCGGACGGGUGAGUAACACGUGGGUAACCUACCUAUAAGACUGGGACAACUUCGGGAAACCGGAGCUAAUACCGGAUAAGAUAUCGAACCGCAUGGUUCGAUAGUGAAAGAUGGUUUUGCUAUCACUUAUAGAUGGACCCGCGCCGUAUUAGCUAGUUGGUGAGGUAACGGCUCACCAAGGCAACGAUACGUAGCCGACCUGAGAGGGUGAUCGGCCACACUGGAACUGAGACACGGUCCAGACUCCUACGGGAGGCAGCAGAC